rnacentral:lncRNA from 1 species
GGGGGAGCUCCCGGAAAAACGCUCGGGAAAUCGGGAAAAGUUCGAAUUAAUUAUGAAAAACGUGCGAAAAGUGUUCUCUAAAGCGCCCGCUUCAUUUUGAUGUAAUUUUCGAGGGUGCGCACCUGUUUUUUCUAUGGAAAAACAGUGAGAUAUAACCACAAAUUUCAUCGGCGUCAACCCUCUUGCAGUUAUCACGUGUCCAGAAGAAAAUGUAAGGAAAUGCCUCUCCCUCGAGGUUAGUGAAAUAACUUCAAAAGGCAUGGCAACUAUGGUGUAAAAGUCCCUCUGGGAGUCAUCGAGGGUCCAGAGGAGAACACAAGACAGAAAAAGACGAGAAGAUGAUUGGAACAACUGCUCCGGAGGAUCCUCAGGGUUUCGUUGUAAGAAUCAACAUCAUCAGGGACACUCCUCGAAGGAACAAAGGGGGCAGAGGGGCUUUUAGCAGCUGCAGAUCAUCAUUAGGAAGAUUAUGUUCUAUUUUUAUUAUUAUGUGAUUAUAUUAUGUUGUAUUUGUUUAUAUGGGCGUUAUAAUAAAUUAUGUUUUAAAUCUGAUUGACUUGUGUUUGAUUUCCCUAAUCGUAUUGUUGGGUUAGGGCACAAUAAAGUUUGUUGUUUUUGUGUUUUAUUUUUACCCUCUUCAAGAUUUAUUGCUCUGUAAAGGAGCGUCAAGGUUUGUACAUUUAUUUAUUUAUUGUUUUUAAUGUAUGUAUUUUGUUGUGUUGUUAUUGUUGGAGGGGGAACACAUUUUCCAAUUUUUCCCUUUAUCAUGGAAAUCCAUCCAUUAGAACCUUUUUUAUCCAGGUUUUUGUAAAUCAUGUCCAAGGGAAAAGACAGUCUGAGGUAACUUGGGUCAUAACUCCACUCCUAGUGGUCAGAUCGGAUUGAUUUUUGUUUUAAAAGAUUCUUUGAAGUCUUCUUCAGCUUUCACUAAAACAAUCAUGGAAAUCCAUCCAUUAGAACCUUUUUUAUCCAGGUUUUUGUAAAUCAUGUCCAAGAAAAAAGACAGUCUGAGGUAACUUUGGUCAUAACUCCACUUCUGGUGGUCAGAUCGGGUUGAUUUUUGUUUUAAAAGAUUCUCUGAAGUGUUCUUCAGCUUUCACUAAAACAAUCAUGGAAAUCCAUCCAUUAGAACCUUUUUUAUCCAGGUUUUUGUAAAUCAUGUGCAAGAAAAAAGACAGUCUGAGGUAACUUGGGUCAUAACUUUACUUCUGGUAGUCAGAUCGAGUUGAUUUUUGUUUUAAAAGAUUCUUUGAAGUCCUCUUCAGCUUUCACUAAAACAAUCAUGGAAAUCCAUCCAUUAGAACCUUUUUUAUCCAGGUUUUUGUAAAUCAUGUGCAAUAAAAAAGACAGUCUGAGGUAACUUGGGUCAUAACUCCACUUCUGGUGGUCAGAUCGGGUUGAUUUUUGUUUUAAAAGAUUCUUUGAACUGUUCUU